UAAAAAUCUGCAGCCAGAUGUUAAUUCAGAAUUCAUCAUGUGACAGGAAGACUUCAGAAAGAUUGAUGUCACUUCCUCCAGCUGAUCCUUAUCAUGAUUUAUCUGCAACAGACUGUAGAGCUCCUCUUAUCCCCUACAACCAGCUUAAACCAGUAUGAUCUGUGCUAUAAUCAGUCUCCAUUUCCUGCUUUACUGGACAUCAGUUUUAGCAGAAGAUGAUGGAGUCUUCCAAACCCCCAGUGUCCUCUGGCAUCCUAAAGGAGAAUCUGCAGAAAUGAAAUGCAGUCAUAAUAAAGGUCUUGGGUAUAAUCAGAUGUACUGGUACAGACAACGCCAAGGAGAGAGCAUGGAGUUCAUCGUGUACAAAACACCCAGUGGUGAACCAGAGUUUGGCUCUGUGGAUAGAAAUAAAUUUUUAACUGUUAAAAACAUUGCUGCAAAUGGAUCUUUAACUGUGAAGGAUCUGGAUAUAGAGGACAGUGCUGUGUAUUUCUGUGCAGUAAGAGAACACAGUGUUACAGAGUUACUGCACUGCUGA